ACCCGCUGAACUUAAGCAUAUCAAUAAGCGGAGGAAAAGAAACCAACAGGGAUUGCCCCAGUAACGGCGAGUGAAGCGGCAACAGCUCAAAUUUGAAAUCUGGCCCCCCCGACCGCGGGGGCCCGAGUUGUAAUUUGCAGAGGAUGCUUUCGGCGCGGCGCCUUCCGAGUUCCCUGGAACGGGACGCCACAGAGGGUGAGAGCCCCGUACGGUCGGACGCCCAGCCACUGUAAAGCUCCCUCGACGAGUCGAGUAGUUUGGGAAUGCUGCUCUAAACGGGAGGUAUAUGUCUUCUAAAGCUAAAUACUGGCCAGAGACCGAUAGCGCACAAGUAGAGUGAUCGAAAGAUGAAAAGCACUUUGGAAAGAGAGUUAAACAGCACGUGAAAUUGUUGAAAGGGAAGCGCUCGAGACCAGACUUGGGCCCGGGGGAUCAUCCGGCGUUCUCGCCGGUGCACUCCGCCGGGCCCAGGCCAGCAUCAGUUCGCCGCGGGGGACAAAGGCGCCGGGAACGUGGCUCCCCACGGGGAGUGUUAUAGCCCGGCGCGCAAUGCCCCGCGCGCGGACUGAGGCACGCGCUCCGCAAGGAUGCUGGCGUAAUGGUCCCCAGCGACCCGUCUUGAAACACGGACCAAGGAGUCGUCCUCGUAUGCGAGUGUUCGGGCGUCAAACCCCUACGCGUAAUGAAAGUGAGCGCAGGUGAGAGCUUCGGCGCACCACCGACCGAUCCCGAUGGCCCGCCCGGACGGAUUUGAGUAGGAGCAUACGGGGCCGGACCCGAAAGAAGGUGAACUAUGCCUGUAUAGGGUGAAGCCAGAGGAAACUCUGGUGGAGGCUCGCAGCGGUUCUGACGUGCAAAUCGAUCGUCAAAUAUGGGCAUGGGGGCGAAAGACUAAUCGAACCUUCUAGUAGCUGGUUUCCGCCGAAGUUUCCCUCAGGAUAGCAGUGUCGAGACCUCCAGUUUUAUGAGGUAAAGCGAAUGAUUAGGGACCCGGGGGCGCUAUCUAGCCUCCAUCCAUUCUCAAACUUUAAAUAUGUAAGAAGCCCUUGUUACUUCGGUUGAACGUGGGCAUUCGAAUGUAUCAACACUAGUGGGCCAUUUUUGGUAAGCAGAACUGGCGAUGCGGGAUGAACCGAACGCGAGGUUAAGGUGCCAGAGUAGACGCUCAUCAGACACCACAAAAGGCGUUAGUACAUCUUGACAGCAGGACGGUGGCCAUGGAAGUCGGAAUCCGCUAAGGACUGUGUAACAACUCACCUGCCGAAUGUACUAGCCCUGAAAAUGGAUGGCGCUCAAGCGUCUCACCCAUACCUCGCCCUCGGGGUAGAAACGAAGCCCCGAGGAGUAGGCGGACGUGGAGGUCAGUGACGAAGCCUAGGGCGUGAGCCCGGGUCGAACGGCCUCUAGUGCAGAUCUUGGUGAAAGUAGCGAGUAUUUCAACGAGAACUUGAAAGACCGAAGUGGGGAAAGGUUCCAUGUGAACAGCAGUUGGACGUGGGUUAGUCGAUCCUAAGCCAUAGGGAAGUUCCGUUUCAAAGGCGCACUCUCGCGCCGUGUGGCGAAAGGGGAGCCGGUCAAUAUUCCGGCACCUGGAUGUGGGUUUUGCGCGGCAACGCAACUGAACGCGGAGACGACGGCGGGGGCCCCGGGCAGAGUUCUCUUUUCUUCUUAACGGCCUCUCACCCUGAAAUCGGUUUGUCCGGAGCUAGGGUUUAACGGCCGGAAGAGCCCAGCACCUCUGCUGGGUCCGGUGCGCCCUCGACGUCCCUUGAAAAUCCGCGGGAGGGAAUAAUUCUCGCGCCAGGUCGUACUCAUAACCGCAGCAGGUCUCCAAGGUGAACAGCCUCUGGUUGAUAGAACAAUGUAGAUAAGGGAAGUCGGCAAAAUAGAUCCGUAACUUCGGGAUAAGGAUUGGCUCUAAGGGUUGGGCGCGCUGGGCCUUGGGCGGACGCCCCGGGAGCAGGCAGCCACUAGCCGGGCAACCGGCGGGCGGCGGCCAGCAUCCGGGCGCCGAAGCCCUUGGCAGGCCUCGGCCGUCCGGCGCGCGGUUAACAACCAACUUAGAACUGGUACGGACAGGGGGAAUCUGACUGUCUAAUUAAAACAUAGCAUUGCGAUGGCCAGCAAGUGGUGUUGACGCAAUGUGAUUUCUGCCCAGUGCUCU
rnacentral:rRNA from 1 species